rnacentral:rRNA from 1 species
UCUACGGGAGGCAGCAGUGGGGAAUAUUGGACAAUGGGCGAAAGCCUGAUCCAGCCAUGCCGCGUGUGUGAAGAAGGCCUUCGGGUUGUAAAGCACUUUCAGUGGGGAAGAAAGCCUUGGGGCUAAUACCCUCGAGGAAGGACAUCACCCACAGAAGAAGCACCGGCUAACUCCGUGCCAGCAGCCGCGGUAAUACGGAGGGUGCGAGCGUUAAUCGGAAUUACUGGGCGUAAAGCGCGCGUAGGCGGUCUGAUAAGCCGGUUGUGAAAGCCCCGGGCUCAACCUGGGAACGGCAUCCGGAACUGUCAGGCUAGAGUGCAGGAGAGGAAGGUAGAAUUCCCGGUGUAGCGGUGAAAUGCGUAGAGAUCGGGAGGAAUACCAGUGGCGAAGGCGGCCUUCUGGACUGACACUGACGCUGAGGUGCGAAAGCGUGGGUAGCAAACAGGAUUAGAUACCCCAGUAGUC